AGUGAACGCUGGCGGUAGACCUAACACAUGCAAGUCGAACGGCAGCACAGUAAGAGCUUGCUCUUACGGGUGGCGAGUGGCGGACGGGUGAGGAAUACAUCGGAAUCUACUUUUUCGUGGGGGAUAACGUAGGGAAACUUACGCUAAUACCGCAUACGACCUACGGGUGAAAGCAGGGGAUCUUCGGCCCUUGCGCGAUUGAAUGAGCCGAUGUCGGAUUAGCUAGUUGGCGGGGUAAAGGCCCACCAAGGCGACGAUCCGUAGCUGGUCUGAGAGGAUGAUCAGCCACAAUGGGACUGAGACACGGUCCAGACUCCUACGGGAGGCAGGAGUGGGGAAUAUUGGACAAUGGGGGCAAGCCUGAUCCAGCCAUACCGCGUGGGUGAAGAAGGCCUUCGGGUUGUAAAGCCCUUUUGUUGGGAAAGAAAAGCAGCAGGUUAAUACCCCGCUGUUCUGACGGUACCCAAAGAAUAAGCACCGGCUAACUUCGUG
rnacentral:rRNA from 1 species